UUUCAAAGGGAUGCUUAGAAUCUGUACUGAUGCCAUCUAGAAAUGUAAAUGCUCAGUGUCACACUGCUAAGGGGAGAAAGGGGCUGGUUGUGGACUGGGGGGCAUUGCCAUAGUGUGAAUGUGGACGUCCUGAAACUACAUGUGGGAACUGGCAUUCUUCCUCCCCCAGGGAGGCUGCAUGUAAGAGACAUUGUAUGGAUCAUCUCGGACAAUAUGUGUGAAAGCUAACUGGAUCUGAGGGCACAAGGAGGAGGAACUACAAUAAAGACAAUAAUGAAAGGUUAAACAAGCAGAUGUUCAGAGCUCAUGUUACAACCAGAACUUGAACUCAGUAUGUUCACAACCAAGUCCAUGCAAUUAACCUCAAUGGUGCUUCUACUCUCUAAAAAUCUUCAGAGACAUUUUUUGAGGAGUAUGAAAUAUAUUUGUGUAUUUUUAUGAAUUCCGAAUCGCAUGGACAUGAGGCUAACUGAAAACAACUCAGCUCACAAGGUGACUGCAGAGAGGAAGAAGUGAGCUGAGAUGGAAGCUGCCCCAGGAUUACUCCACCAUUAGACCAAGCCUCGAAUACCUGAGUCUUUGUGGAACAUGAUGGAUUGAAAACAAAAUGCUUCUUACUGAGCUUACCAUCUGCCAUGUUGAGUCUUCUCUCUCUCUCAGGUUAGUAUCAACCACAGCUAUGCCAACAAGGUCCAG